rnacentral:rRNA from 1 species
AGAUUGAACGCUAGCGGGAUGCUUUACACAUGCAAGUCGAACGGCAGCACGGGGGCAACCCUGGUGGCGAGUGGCGAACGGGUGAGUAACAUAUCGGAACGUGCCCUGGAGUGGGGGAUAACUAGUCGAAAGACUAGCUAAUACCGCAUACGAUCUACGGAUGAAAGUGGGGGAUCGCAAGACCUCAUGCUCGUGGAGCGGCCGAUAUCUGAUUAGCUUAGUUGGUGGGGUAAAGGCCUACCAAGGCAUCGAUCAGUAGCUGGUCUGAGAGGACGACCGGCCACACUGGGACUGAGACACGGCCAGACUCCUACGGGAGGCAGCAGUGGGAAUUUUGGACAAUGGGGGGAAACCCUGAAGUCCAGUCCAGUCCCGCGUGGUGCGAGUCGGA